CAAUAGCGUAUAUUAAAGUUGUUGCGGUUAAAAAGCUCGUAGUUGGAUUUCUGCCGAGGACGACCGGUCCGCCCUCUGGGUGUGUAUCUGGUUUGGCCUGGGCAUCUUCUUGGAGAACGUAGCUGCACUUGACUGUGUGGUGCGGUGUCCAGGACUUUUACUUUGAGGAAAUUAGAGUGUUUCAAGCAGGCACACGCCUUGAAUACAUUAGCAUGGAAUAAUAAGAUAGGACCUCGGUUCUAUUUUGUUGGUUUCUAGAGCUGAGGUAAUGAUUAAUAGGGAUAGUUGGGGGCAUUCGUAUUCAGUUGUCAGAGGUGAAAUUCUUGGAUUUACGGAAGACGAACAACUGCGAAAGCAUUUGCCAAGGAUGUUUUCAUUAA
rnacentral:rRNA from 1 species